rnacentral:rRNA from 1 species
UACGGAAGGUCCGGGCGUUAUCCGGAUUUAUUGGGUUUAAAGGGAGCGUAGGCCGAAGAUUAAGCGUGCUGUGAAAUGUUGCGGCUCAACCGUGGAACUGCAGCGGGAACUGGUUUUCUUGAGUGCGCGGGAGGCAGGCAGAAUUCGUGGUGUAGCGGUGAAAUGCUUAGAGAUCACGAGGAACCCCGAUGGCGAAGGCAGCCUCCCGUAG